rnacentral:rRNA from 1 species
GAGUAAUGUCUGGGAAACUGCCUGAUGGAGGGGGAUAACUACUGGAAACGGUGGCUAAUACCGCAUAACGUCGCAAGACCAAAGAGGGGGACCUUCGGGCCUCUUGCCAUCAGAUGUGCCCAGAUGGGAUUAGCUUGUUGGUGAGGUAACGGCUCACCAAGGCGACGAUCCCUAGCUGGUCUGAGAGGAUGACCAGCCACACUGGAACUGAGACACGGUCCAGACUCCUACGGGAGGCAGCAGUGGGGAAUAUUGCACAAUGGGCGCAAGCCUGAUGCAGCCAUGCCGCGUGUAUGAAGAAGGCCUUCGGGUUGUAAAGUACUUUCAGCGGGGAGGAAGGUGUUGUGGUUAAUAACCGCAGCAAUUGACGUUACCCGCAGAAGAAGCACCGGCUAACUCCGUGCCAGCAGCCGCGGUAAUACGGAGGGUGCAAGCGUUAAUCGGAAUUACUGGGCGUAAAGCGCACGCAGGCGGUCUGUCAAGUCGGAUGUGAAAUCCCCGGGCUCAACCUGGGAACUGCAUUCGAAACUGGCAGGCUUGAGUCUUGUAGAGGGGGGUAGAAUUCCAGGUGUAGCGGUGAAAUGCGUAGAGAUCUGGAGGAAUACCGGUGGCGAAGGCGGCCCCCUGGACAAAGACUGACGCUCAGGUGCGAAAGCGUGGGGAGCAAACAGGAUUAGAUACCCUGGUAGUCCACGCCGUAAACGAUGUCUACUUGGAGGUUGUGCCCUUGAGGCGUGGCUUCCGGAGCUAACGCGUUAAGUAGACCGCCUGGGGAGUACGGCCGCAAGGUUAAAACUCAAAUGAAUUGACGGGGGCCCGCACAAGCGGUGGAGCAUGUGGUUUAAUUCGAUGCAACGCGAAGAACCUUACCUGGUCUUGACAUCCACGGAAGUUUUCAGAGAUGAGAAUGUGCCUUCGGGAACCGUGAGACAGGUGCUGCAUGGCUGUCGUCAGCUCGUGUUGUGAAAUGUUGGGUUAAGUCCCGCAACGAGCGCAACCCUUAUCCUUUGUUGCCAGCGAUUAGGUCGGGAACUCAAAGGAGACUGCCAGUGAUAAACUGGAGGAAGGUGGGGAUGACGUCAAGUCAUCA